rnacentral:lncRNA from 1 species
UUAUCUUUUUCUGGAAUUAUUUUUAAACUAAAAAUGAUUUUUAUAAAUCCCGAAAUUAAUAAUUUUCGAAACUUUUCUAAACCCUAGACCUAUAUAUAUGCCGGCGUAGCCCUCGACGCGCUGAUUCCAGAAGUAUAACCCUUUUUUCGAGCCGCCGUUUGUACCGCCGCAGAUCCAUCGCCGAAGUUUUGGAUCUCGUUUUCGGGGAACUUUUGCGGCGAACCUUCGGCGAGAGUUUCCGGCCGCCUCAGUCGUCCCCUGUGAAAACCGUCACCAUCCCGAGGUUCGUAUCGAUCUCCUCUACACCGACAGACCAUUAGUUUCGUGAAUACGUCACCUGUUGACCGCUUUCCUUGUCUUCUCUUUCGUCUCCGGCGAACUCCACCAUUUGC